GACGAACCGUGCGAACGUUGUUCGGAUUCACUGGGCUUAAAGGGCGCGUAGGCGGGUGACCAAGUCCGGGGUGAAAUCUUUCGGCCCAACCGGAAAAGUGCCUUGGAUACUGGUCGUCUGGAGGGAGGUAGGGGCACGCGGAACUUCCGGUGGAGCGGUGAAAUGCGUAGAUAUCGGAAGGAACGCCGGUGGCGAAAGCGGCGUGCUGGACCUCUUCUGACGCUGAGGCGCGAAAGCCAGGGGAGCAAACGGG
rnacentral:rRNA from 2 species